UUUGCCCCAAUUUCUCAUGACUUUUGAAGAAGCUCAUUGUAUCUCAAAGUUCUUCUGGAUCUGUAGUGAAACUACAUGCUGGUUGUUAGUCUUCCACAGGUGGUGAAAAUGUGCUUAUAACCAAAGGAUUAGUCAACUGCGCACUGAUGGAACUGGCAGACCAAAGCCCUAUUUGGACAGGAUUAGUUUUCCAUGGGGAGAUGUGAAUACUCACCCACUGAGGCACUCGUCAAACCUCUCCGUGGCUCGGAAGCCAAUGAUGGAGUAGAUCACUAUGGCAGCGUAGACAGAGGCUGUGAAACUCACCAACUCCUGCUAAGUAAGGAUUGAUGGACCUCCAGACUCCAACGCUGCCCUUCCUUAGCCUCUGUCCAAUGGCAAACUCCAG